rnacentral:lncRNA from 1 species
UGCCUUUCACCAACCUCACAUGUAAAUUGCAUUAAGGACGGCCCACCCACUGAGCAAGUUAUUGGUCCUGAUCAGUCGAUUGCCCAUCGUUGAAUGGAUCAUAAUGAGGUAAUCAUCAAUCAUAAAAAUUUCUGACUUCUCACUUUGGUAAAUUUCUAUUAAUUUUCAUCCAUUAAUUAUAAAAAUCUAUACUAGUUUAUCUAACUGUUACAUAAACUAAUAUAUCUAAAAGUCUUGGUUCGCAAAUGAGUUUAUGUUAAUGUUGGCUAGCUUAAAUUACGAUUCUUAAUUGCUGGGGAACUCAUCAAGAUUACAUGUUAAAUUGAAGAAACACAUAUAUAUACUUUGAGGGCAUUCAUGGGUUCCAUGUGUUUUCAAUUGAAGGGAUAUGUUUCUUUGUACAAGUUGACGUUCAUUAGUUUUGGAAGCAUUUGACAGCAACAGCUAUAAUUAUUAACAACUAUUCAAGGGUAGAUUUGCAGCCAAAUGUAAAUAUUUCUUUUCAG